GUCAGCAAAACACCGAAUUGAGAUCACACACCAAGGAAGAAAAAGAAAAGUUCCAUCUGUCCAAGAGAGAGAAGAAAUCGGCAAUGUCGAAGGACAACGAAUCGCUGCACUACAUGGACGAGGAGGCGAAGCGCAAGAAGAGGAUGAAGUGGACGAUCGGCAUCAUCGCCUUCGUCAUCCUACAGGUAGUCCAAGCUCUCUUCUUCGUCCUGGUCAUCAUGAAGUUCAAGUCCCCCAAGUUCAGGGUCGGUGAGUUCGACAUCCAAACCUUGAAUGUCGGGACUCAGGCCUCGCCCUCGUUCGAUAUGAGCUUUGUCGCUCCGAUCCGGGUCAAGAACACCAACUGGGGUCCUUUCAAGUAUGAUGCUUCUACUGUUAGCUUCACCUAUGGCGGUGCCCAAGUGGGACAAGCGAUCAUUCCCAAGAGCAAGGCCAACUUCAAGUCCACCAAAAAGAUUGACGUGCAUGUGACCUUGAGCUCUUCGAAUUUGCCAAGCGCUUCGAAUCUUGGGAACGAGUUGAGUUCGGGGAUCAUAACAUUGAACAGCCAAGGUGAACUCAAAGGGAAAGUAACGGUCAUGUUCAUGUUCAAAAAAACAAAAAUCUCCCAAAUGAAUUGCACCAUAGCCAUCAAUACAGCAACCAAGGUGGUCCAAUCCUUGACAUGUAAAUAAGAAUGCAAGAGUGUUUGAUUCUCCAUUAGAUGGCUUGUGCUUUGUCACAGACAUUUUGCGGUUUCGAUAAGAUUUGUAAUUCUACCUUUUCUCUCGUCACUCGUUAUCACCUUGCUUCUGUUGGAAUAUCACAUUUGUUGUUGAAUUGAGGAUUUGAGCCUCUUAUUUUCUUUUGCUUCUUAGUUUCCCGAACUCUUUGUUCCCUUUCCUAUAAAAUGAGGAAGGGGACCCACCAAGCCACCUUCCAUUAAUACUAUGACACCGAGCUCUUAUCAUCAUAAGUAGUUGUCACACGAGUCAAAAGAUGUAAACAUCAACAAAUUAACUUUGCCAGUUCUUUCCUGCUUGUGAUACUAGUCCUUCUAACUUUUUCUAGUUAAUUACUAGAUGUAUAAAUGCUUAAUUACCUAUUUCAUAGUAAAAGUUAAUGGCUAUAUGUUAUGAAGGUUUUUUUUUUUUAUCGAUCAUACUCCAUUCAUAUUCUAACUCUCACUCUCAGACUUUUGCCCUACUUCCUUGCAAUGCGUGAGAGUCGAAACCUACAUUUGAAACUAAUUCGUCCAUAUCCUAACCUCCCUUGAAAAUGUGAGAAUUCGAACCCCCACCUCCCCCUUCCAUGUUAGAAGGGUAUCCCAGUGGUUGACUAUAUGUUAUGAAGUUGAAAAGCACUUCUCCCCGCGAAAAUUUUAUAACCAAUUUACCCAUGUUUAGUAACUCCUCAGGGUGUUCGGAACCUUUUCAUAUAAAGAAAAGCAAGUAUCAAUAUAUCAGGCAAUUUUCGUUAGUCUUUUUCACGAUGGUUAGUAAGCAUUUCAUCCUUUGGAAAACUAAGUCUCCAUCAAUCAUUGGUAAUUUAGUUGUCUAGAUUAGUUAUUUUCAUACAAAAUAACAUCUAGCCUAUCACUCAUAAGUAACUCACUGACGUGAUUAGUAGCAUUAAAAAGUAAGCAUAUGCCCAUCAACGCUAAUAGUAAUUGUGUUACAUGAUUUUUAAGUCGUCGUAGUAGAAGAUAAGUUUGAACUCUAUCGACAAUUAGUAGCUUCUCGACAUGAUAUGAUGCAAGAGCAAGUGUGGAGAAGUAGGAGGUAACAUAAAUGAACUUAAAAGAAAUAGGUCACUCGCCACCCAUAUAUAAUUUACCUAAGAAAUAAGAGCAAAACAAAAAAUCUUUUUUAUACUCAAGCCAAAGGCUCAAAAUAAUUUACUAAACAAACGAGCUUUGCCUUUUCAUUCAUCAUAGCAUACUUAUAUAAAUGAGCAUGGAACAACCCUCAAAAUAUGAGUAAUUGCGAAAACUCAUUGGAAAAACAAAAAUACUGAUAGGAAACACAAACUAGUUUUACUAUAAAAUAGCCACAACCAAAUAAGGACUCUAGAAAUUUAAACAACAUUUACUAAAUCCUAAAGAUAUGAUAAAUAAAUAUAGUUGGUUAUAGGCCUCCAACUUUUACGAGUUACAAAUUAGCUGAAUGAAUGGCCUUCAAGAAAUGCUCCGGAAUCAAGAUGAGUGAUUUUUGUCAUGGUAACUCAAAAUUAAGUAAUGAUAUAUAUAUAUAUGCCAAAAAAUUACCAACAAAAAACAUUUCCAAAUAUAUUGAUUGAUAAAGUAAAUUAAUAAAGGUUGCGAAAGGUCCUUUGUUGAUUUUGAACAUGAAAGUAAAUGACAACAAAUUUAAAGGUCACCAAACUGAAGGUAAUCACAAACAAUCACGUAAAUUGAAGUGCCGCUAGGUCAAAUGGCUUACCUUCAGAUUCACUUCGGAUCAACUCAUCAGUCAUCGAAGUGCCUUGUUAAUGUCUCUUUGGGUCAAAAUUGGGUCGAGGCAUUGUUUGUUAGAUUCAAAGAGUUCGGCACUAGGAAAGCAAAAAGCUAGGGAGUUUGGAGAGAGACAUAAGCAAGCAAAGCAAAGCAAAAGUCCAAUUUUUCCCAACUUAAGAUAUGAACAAAAUUAAGAGACCUUGUUAAGUUUUGAGCUUCAGAUUCACUUCGGAUCAACUCAUCAGUCAUCGAAGUGCCUUGUUAAUGUCUCUUUGGGUCAAAAUUGGGUCGAGGCAUUGUUUGUUAGAUUCAAAGAGUUCGGUACUAGGAAAGCAAAAAGCUAGGGAGUUUGGAGAGAGACAUAAGCAAGCAAAGCAAAGCAAAAGUCCAAUUUUUCCCAACGAGCUUCAGAUUCACUUCGGAUCAACUCAUCAGUCAUCGAAGUGCCUUGUUAAUGUCUCUUUGGGUCAAAAUUGGGUCGAGGCAUUGUUUGUUAGAUUCAAAGAGUUCGGCACUAGGAAAGCAAAAAGCUAGGGAGUUUGGAGAGAGACAUAAGCAAGCAAAGCAAAGCAAAAGUCCAAUUUUUCCCAACUUAACAUAUGAACAAAAUUAAGAGACCUUGUUAAGUUUUGACUCUCUCUCUCUCUCUCUCUCUCUCUCUCUCAUACUGUAACCUCUUCCCGGCUCUACCAUAGGAGUUGAUUAUAAUUUUUUUUUCAAAAUGAUUUAGUCAAAUUACUUGGUUUUGGAUCAAGGCUAUCUGACCAUCUGACAAUAUUGAAGUGGCUAAACAAACCCUAUGUCAUCCUCUAGCACGUCAUGAGUAGCUUGAUCACAUUGCCAUGGGAGGUUAAUCAUCGUGCCCUUACCAGCUAAAAAUACGGUCUUGUCACGAGGUUUUACAUUUGGACGGUGCAAUGGAAGAAUCCAAACCCUCAUGUUUGGGGCUAAGACUAAGGUUAACAACUAUAUCAACCAAUUAAAUAAUGCAAAUUAUUAUAACAUAAGUCACGCGGACAUGGCCAGUAUUGGCAGACCUCAACUAAGUCUUAUUUAACCUUAGAUCAACGAAGAUUGCCUUUUAAUAUUCAAUGAAAAGACCUAGCUAACUGUUCCAUUUGCAACGGUGACGAGACCUCCACUGUGCAAACAUCCUAAACUCGUGAAAAAGUCAAUAAACUCAAGCUCUCUCCACCCGCUUUUGUCCGUUUGUACCUCCAGAGGUUUGUCUUGGCGUUUUGGCUGAGACCGUGAAACGAUCGAAGCUUCUGAUUUUCGGCAAUUUGUAUUCAAUUUUAUAUUGGAGAAAAGAAAAUCGGCGUGUAAAAUCGCGUUCGUCUAGAAAGUUAGAAUUUCAGCCUUAAAUGGUCUUUGGCGUGUGGGAGUCGGAUACCGUGACGUGUUCCCGGAAGGAGCCUUUGGUCAUAACAAGUCGCCUUUGGCGCGCCCCAGAAUCCAUAUAAAUGCCCACCUCCUCAAUUCAUUCCUCACAGCUUCUCCAAAUCUCCAAAUUCGUUAAGAAAACACCCAAUUGAGAUCACCCGACAAGGAAGAAGGCAGAAAACUUCCCUUCUGUUAGAAGAGAGAAGAAAUCCCGUGAUGUCGAAGGACAACGAAUCACUGCACUACAUGAACGAGGAGGCGAAGCGCAAGAAGAGGAUGAAGUGGACGAUCGGCAUCAUCGCUUUCGUCAUCUUUCAGGUACUCGUAGCCGUCUUCUUCGUCCUAGUCAUCAUGAAGUUCAAGUCCCCUAAGUUCAGGGUCGGUGAGUUCAACGUCCAAACCUUGAACGUCGGGAAUCAGGCCUCACCCUCGUUCAACAUGAGCUUCGUCGCUCCGAUCCGGGUCAAGAACACCAACUGGGGUCCCUUCAAGUACGAUGCUUCUACUGUUAGCUUCACCUAUGGGGGCGUCCAAGUGGGACAAGCGACCAUUCCCAAGAGCAAGGCCAACUUCAAGUCCACCAAGAAGAUCGAUGUGUCCGUGACCUUGAACUCCGAUGCUUUGCCUACUAGUUCGAACCUUGGGAGCGAAUUGAGCUCGGGGAUCAUAAC
rnacentral:lncRNA from 1 species